GUGCCGUCCCGUCGGAGCAGCGGCGUGCGUGCUACCAGCCCUGCUCCUACGGCCGCUGCCCUUGCCCAGGUGCAGACAUCUCAUGGCGUCAGUGACGUGAGAUCUAGAAGUGGUCGCUGAGGAAGGAAGUGAGCAGUCAGUUGGAUCAGGAGAAUAUGAAGGCAUUUUUCUCUUACCUACUACGGGAGAUUAAGUGACCAGUCAUGUGUUGAUAUGUACUCUACAAUUGAGGCAAGUAGACUUAAAUGGAUGCAAAACCACCAAAAAGACCUAAGGAGUGAGUCGGUACAAGGCAUAGCUGAUGCGAUUGAUAAAGGUCUCACUAAUGCUGAUUCAGUUGGUGGAAAGGUAGUCAUCCCUGCCAGUUUUACUGCUGGUAGGAGAUAUUUUGUGAUGAAUUACCAAGAUGCAAUGGUCAUCUGCAGGGUCUAUGCCCCCCUAACAUAUUUGUA